GCCCUGCCGCGCUCCCGGGCUCUGCCUCCCGUGCCUACUGAGCUGAUACUCAGUCGCUUUGCUUAAACUGGCUCAGUUCAGCAGGAACAGGAGUCGGGCUCCAGCCUCGCGCCGGCCAGA
rnacentral:precursor_RNA from 15 species